rnacentral:rRNA from 1 species
CGAAUAGGCGAAAGCUUGGACCAGCCAGUCGCGUGAAGGAUGAAGGAUCUAUGGAUUGUAAACUUCUUUUAUAAGGGAAUAAAGUGGAGGACGUGUACUUUUUUGUAUGUACCCUAUGAAUAAGGAUCGGCUAACUCCGUGCCAGCAGCCGCGGUAAUACGGAGGAUGCGAGCGUUAUCCGGAUUUAUUGGGUUUAAAGGGAGCGUAGGUGGUGAUUUAAGUCAGCGGUGAAAGUUUGUGGCUCAACCAUAAAAUUGCCGUUGAAACUGGGUUACUUGAGUGUGUUUGAGGUAGGCGGAAUGCGUGGUGUAGCGGUGAAAUGCUUAGAUAUCACGCAGAACUCCGAUUGCGAAGGCAGCUUACUAAACCGUAACUGACACUGAUGCUCGAAAGCGUGGGGAUCAAACAGGAUUAGAUACCCUGGUAGUCCACCCAGUAAAGCGAUGAUUACUAGGAGUUUGCGAUACACUGUAAGCUCUACAGCGAAAGCGUUAAGUAAUCCACCUGGGGAGUACGCCGGCAACGGUGAAACUCAAAGGAAUUGACGGAAG